GCCUGGGUGGCUUAGUCUUUAAGUAUCUGACUCCAGCUCAGGUCAUAAUCUCAUGGUUCAUGAGUUCGAGUCCCAUAUCAGGUG
rnacentral:tRNA from 1 species